rnacentral:sRNA from 1 species
CACACCCUGGCAUCCACCUUUCCUCCUCUUCCAAGACACCAGCCUGGCAGCUGCGAUUCAGCCACCUCGUGGGGUAUGGUGCUAAAUAUUACUCUUACCUCAUGUCCAGAGCGGUCGCCUCCAUGGUUUGGAAGGAGUGUUUUCUACAGGAUCCCUUCAACAGGGCUGCCGGGGAGCGCUAUCGCAGGGAGAUGCUGGCCCACGGUGGAGGCAGGGAGCCCAUGCUCAUGGUUGAAGGUAUGCUUCAGAAGUGUCCUUCUGUUGAUGACUUCGUAAGUGCCCUCGUUUCCGACUUGGAUCUGGACUUCGAAACUUUCCUCAUGGAUUCUGAAUAAAAGAAACACUCUACACCUCUUAAAUCAAGGUCAUGUAGAUAAUGACUUUGUUAUAAAUGCUACAGCUGUGAGAGCUUGUUUCUGAUUUCAUUGUUCGCUUCUGUAAUUCUGAAAAACUUUAAACUGGUAGAACUUGGAAUAAAUAAUUUGUUUUAAUUA